rnacentral:lncRNA from 1 species
CCUAGAGCUAUCAACGCCAGCUCGGAACCCACUCUGUGGACCCAUCACAGCUGCUGUUGAAGCAGCGGUGUUUGGAAAGCAACUAUGUUUCUGCAUGAGUGUUGUGCUGUCCUUGACUGUGUGCUCUUCAAUACCAUGAGCAUCGAGGUUAUGGGGAGGCAGGAGAGGCGAGAGCUAUCUUCACAGGCCCAGCCCCCAUUAUCUAAGAGGAAAUCCCUUCCUGGUGUUCCCUCAGGAGACCACCAGUUACAGCUCAGGACAGAACGAGGUCACGUGCCCACCUCCAGCUACAAGGACAGCUGUGAAAGCGAGGAUCUGUCCAGGAGAAUGAGAUGGGCUUGAACCAUCAAGACUAAUGAUCAUUAAUCUUCUUACACUAGGGACAUUGGAGUCAAAACAAAGUUAGGAUUUUGUUAGGAAGCAGAAUGGGAGAACAGCGAUCUGCUAAGUAAGCCAGUGUUUGCCGUUAUAACAACGUUAGGAAUAUGCUGUUGAAAAUGCAAUGACAUCAUAAAG